CUUUCAGUGAGUGCGACGGGUGAGUAACACGUGGACAACCUGCCUCAAGGCUGGGGAUAACAUUUGGAAACAGAUGCUAAUACCGAAUAAAACUUAGUGUCGCAUGACACAAAGUUAAAAGGCGCUUCGGCGUCACCUAGAGAUGGAUCCGCGGUGCAUUAGUUAGUUGGUGGGGUAAAGGCCUACCAAGACAAUGAUGCAUAGCCGAGUUGAGAGACUGAUCGGCCACAUUGGGACUGAGACACGGNCCAAACUCCUACGGGAGGCUGCAGUAGGGAAUCUUCCACAAUGGGCGAAAGCCUGAUGGAGCAACGCCGCGUGUGUGAUGAAGGCUUUCGGGUCGUAAAGCACUGUUGUAUGGGAAGAACAGCUAGAAUAGGAAAUGAUUUUAGUUUGACGGUACCAUACCAGAAAGGGACGGCUAAAUACGUGCCAGCAGCCGCGGUAAUACGUAUGUCCCGAGCGUUAUCCGGAUUUAUUGGGCGUAAAGCGAGCGCAGACGGUUUAUUAAGUCUGAUGUGAAAGCCCGGAGCUCAACUCCGGAAUGGCAUUGGAAACUGGUUAACUUGAGUGCAGUAGAGGUAAGUGGAACUCCAUGUGUAGCGGUGGAAUGCGUAGAUAUAUGGAAGAACACCAGUGGCGAAGGCGGCUUACUGGACUGCAACUGACGUUGAGGCUCGAAAGUGUGGGUAGCAAACAGGAUUAGAUACCCUGGUAGUCCACACCGUAACGAUGACACNAGGUGUUAGGAGGUUCCGCCUCUUAUGCCGANCUAACGCAUUAGUGUUCCNCUGGGANUCNACCCAAGUUGAACUNAANGAUUGANGGNCCNCNANCGNCGACNGNGUUAANCACCCCCAAACUNC
rnacentral:rRNA from 1 species